rnacentral:rRNA from 1 species
UUUGUCCUACGGGGGGCAGCAGUGAGGAAUAUUGGUCAAUGGGCGGGAGCCUGAACCAGCCAAGUCGCGUGAGUGAAGACGGUCCUAUGGAUUGUAAACCUCUUUAGGCGGGGAGCAAUGCCGGGCACGCGUGCCCGGAGGGAGAGGACCCGCAGAAUAAGCAUCGGCUAACUCCGUGCCAGCAGCCGCGGUAAUACGGAGGAUGCGAGCGUUAUCCGGGUUUAUUGGGUUUAAAGGGUGCGUAGGCGGAUUUUUUAGGCAGCGGGCAAAUGUCCUG